rnacentral:rRNA from 1 species
GAUGAACGCUAGCGAUAGGCCUAACACAUGCAAGUCGAGGGGCAUCACAUGAAGUAGCAAUACGGAUGGUGGCGACCGGCGCACGGGUGAGUAACACGUAUGCAACCUGCCUUCAACAAGGGGAUAACCCGUUGAAAGACGGACUAAUACCCUAUAACACAGGGGUCCCGCAUGGGAAUAUUUGUUAAAGGACAACCGGUUGAAGAUGGGCAUGCGUUCCAUUAGCUAGUUGGCGGGGUAACGGCCCACCAAGGCAACGAUGGAUAGGGGAACUGAGAGGUUUAUCCCCCACACUGGUACUGAGACACGGACCAGACUCCUACGGGAGGCAGCAGUGAGGAAUAUUGGUCAAUGGACGCAAGUCUGAACCAGCCACGUCGCGUGAAGGAAGACGGCCCUACGGGUUGUAAACUUCUUUUAUACGGGAAUAAAGUGCCCCACGCGUGGGGUUUUGCAUGUACCGUAUGAAUAAGGAUCGGCUAACUCCGUGCCAGCAGCCGCGGUAAUUACG